CAGGAGGUAGUUUAUUUAAAAUACUAGUUUUGGGUAUUAGAGAAAAAUGUUUAUUUUCUUCUGA
rnacentral:tRNA from 1 species